CAUUGAUAGCUUAAAAUUUAAGAGCAUAGCACUGAAGAUGCUAAGGUAGCAAUACUGCUUCAAAGCA
rnacentral:tRNA from 1 species